AUGUCUGUUCUGAAAUAUGUUGAGAAGGAAGGCAAAAGUGAUAAGAAAUGUCAGGCACGUGGUCUUGUAGCAUAUUUUGAGACCUUUGAUUUUGUUUUCUAUUUGCACAUGAUGUUGCAUAUAUUGGGAAAUGCAAAUACUUUGUCGCAGUCUUUACAAAGGAAGGAUCAAGACAUCUUGAAUGCCAUCUCAUGUGUGAAGUCAACAAGAAAUGAGCUGCAAGAACUAAGGGAUAAUGGAUGGGACUCACUUCUUGAGAAGGCAUAUUCAUUUUGUGAAGAGCAUCACAUUGAGAAUGCAAAUAUGCAGGAGCAAUAUGUUAAUCGGCAAAAACCACGGCAAAAAACCAAUAAGACAAACCUUCAACAUUACCGAAUUGAGUGUCUUAAUUCUGUUAUUGAUUGGCAGCUUCAAGAGUUUGAUGACCGCUUCAAUGAGGUAAAUUCUGCAUUGGUUGGGCACAUGGCUUCUUUCAAUCCCAAAGACUCUUUUGCUGCUUUCCACUUGAACAGCUUAGUGAAGCUAGCUGAGUUUUAA
rnacentral:rRNA from 1 species